rnacentral:rRNA from 1 species
UACGGAGGGUGCAAGCGUUAUCCGGAUUCACUGGGUUUAAAGGGUGCGUAGGUGGGUCUGUAAGUCAGUGGUGAAAUCUCCGGGCUUAACCCGGAAACUGCCAUUGAUACUAUAGGUCUUGAAUUAUCUGGAGGUGAGCGGAAUAUGUCAUGUAGCGGUGAAAUGCUUAGAUAUGACAUAGAACACCAAUUGCGAAGGCAGCUCACUACGGAUAUAUUGACACUGAGGCACGAAAGCGUGGGGAUCAAACAGG